AAAUGAGCCACAGGGCAACUCUCCUUUGGCAAGUUAUUGACACUGAUUUUUGGUUACUGACCUUUCACCUGCCAGGAGAGAGGUGCCCUAUUGCUUAUUU
rnacentral:miRNA from 1 species